UUGGGGAUUACCUUUCCCUCUGGAUAAUCUGUUUGGUGUCACCGAUCUGGUUUGUUUUUAAAAUACCUAGUACUCGACUAACCCUGGAGGACACCGUAUAACCGGUUAUUUUUAGAAUUAAAUAAACAUCUACUAUGAGUCACAAAUAAGGAAUAUCUGAUAAGAAGAUUCCCUAAAAUUGCAUUUAU